UCUUGUUCCAAUUUGGAAACAACUUAAGAUGGUAAAGUGUAGUAGUAGUAGCUUUACUUGCAGUGCUGCUUCUCUUCUUCUUAUCCACCAUUUUGGCUUUCUCUUCCUUCAAUAAUUCUGGCAUUAAUACAAAGCAGUUGGUGGAGUCAUGACUACAAUAAUUCAAACCAUUGCAAUUGGACUGACAUCAUUUGUGACCAUGCUGGAAGUGUUGAAGAGAUUAAUGGAUGGGAAUUGAAUAUUAUUUCAAAAGCAUUGCAGCUACAAAACUUGAAUGUGGCCUUCCCCAACUUGGUCUAUCUGGAUCUUCACGCAAUGGGGCUUCCCUAAAGCAUCCCCAAAGAAAUUAGUACUCACAAAACUUGAAACUCUCUUAGUGGCAGCAUUCCUUCUAUUUUUGAUCAACUGCAGAAUCUGGCCUCUGUCUCUCUUGCUUCAAACCAAAUUCAUGCAAGAGUCAUUAAAUGGUUGCAACACACCAAGCUUCAAAUCCUGUCAAACAAGCAAAAACGCACCAAAAGUAAGAAACUCGAGGAAAGAACAGCAAAAAAUGGAGACUUGUUUUCUAUAUGGAACUGUGAUGGAAAAAUUGCAUUUGAAGAUAUCAUUGAAGCAACAUAGGACUUUGAUAUCAGAUAUUGCAUAGGAAUUGGUGUCUAUGGUAGUGUGUAUAGAACACGACUUCCAAGUGGCAAAGUUGUUGCAUUGAAGAAACUUUACCAAAGAGUCUCAAAAUCCAUCUUUUUGACAAGAGUUUCCACAAUGAGAGUUGCAUGCUGUUGUCUCAGACUUUGGAACUGCUAAGCUUCUUGAUCCUGAUUCUUCAAAUCAAACAUUACAAGUUAGAACAUAUGAGUACCUUUGCACCAGCGUUGGCCUAUACAAUGACCGUGAGUCUGUGACAAAGAAGUAUGAUGUCUACAAUUUUGCAGUGGUGGCAUUGGAAGCAUUAAUGGGAAGACACCCAAGAGAGAUAAUCUUGUCUUUGUUCGACUCUUCUAACAAAAUCAUAAUGGUAAAAGAUGUCUUGGAUUCAUGUAUUCCUCUACCUUCAAAUAAAAAAGAUGUUCAGGCUAUAAUUCAUAUAGUAACGCUCGCAUUAGCAUGCUUGUGUUCUAAUCCAAAGUCAAGACCAUCAAUACAGCAAGUGACUCACGAACUUUCUACUUUCAAAGAAUCACUACUUUUGCCUUUUACUGAAAUUACAUUUUAUCUUAAUUGUGUUUGGAUUG